rnacentral:rRNA from 1 species
UACGUAGGGAGCGAGCGUUGUCCGGAAUUACUGGGUGUAAAGGGAGCGUAGGCGGGAUUGCAAGUCAGAUGUGAAAUACGCAGGCUUAACCUGUGGGCUGCAUUUGAAACUGUAGUUCUUGAGUGAAGUAGAGGCAAGCGGAAUUCCUGGUGUAGCGGUGAAAUGCGUAGAUAUCAGGAGGAACACCGGUGGCGAAGGCGGCUUGCUGGGCUUUUACUGACGCUGAGGCUCGAAAGCGUGGGGAGCAAACAGG